rnacentral:lncRNA from 1 species
CGUGGGUUAGUACCCGGGAGAACCGAUCAUUUAAUCCAUAUAUAUAAAAGGUUCCAGGCCAGAAUCACACUGCACAGUUUUAACCCAAAUACACAGCUAAGGACAUGCUGCUUCCCUAGGUGACUGACUGCAAAGAAAACGCCUGCCUGCAACAUACCUUCAGACCCAUUUCUUCGUUUCGGUACUUCCUGAAAUAGUCUGUUCAGGCUCUGGCCUGGAUUCUCUGUUGAAAAACAAGUGUGAACCAGCUUUGCAUGAGGAUCGAGCCCAGUCAACGUUGCUGCUAUGGGGCUGGAGGGGACUUAAGGGCUCCUCCCAAAAGUGAGACCAGCACCCAAGGCCAAUUGGACCCGCGGCCACUAAGCAUACGGAGACGCUAUACAUCAUGUAAUGCAAUUCCCUCUGAUACGAUCUCUAGUAUUGAAAUACUAUAGGGUUUCCUAAGUAUGGAGUGCUGAGUGCGUUUCAAAGGCCAGAUCUCCCAAAUCUAACAGCCUUAACUCAUGCCGGGCCACCCUUGAGCUCUGGACGUGGCAGAAGCAAAGAGAACUUUACCUGAUGUGAUGCACAAAUGUUUCAUCACGCACACAGACACACGCACGCAUGCACACACACAUGUGCAACUCUGUGACGGGCUCGCACGCUGGCGCCACCCAACGCCAGUCUCUCACCUCUUUGUCUGCCUUGGAUGCUACGGAGGGCCAGG